rnacentral:rRNA from 1 species
AUUGAACGCUGGCGGCAGGCCUAACACAUGCAAGUCGAGCGGAGCGGGGGACGGGUGAGUGAUGCCUAGGUAUCUGCCUGGUCGUGGGGGAGAACGUCCGGCAACGGACGCUAAUACCGCAUACUAUCAGACGAGUCUAGGCGGGUUUAGCUAGUUGGUGGGGUAAAGGCCUACCCAGGCGACGGACCGUAACUGGUCUGAGAGGGUGAUCAGUCACACUGGAACUGAGACACGGCCCAGACUCCUACGGGAGGCAGCAGUGGGGAAUAUUGGACAAUGGGCGAAAGCCUGAUGCAGCCAUGCCGCGUGUGUGAAGAAGGUCUUAGGGUUGUAAAGCACUUUAAGUUGGGAGGCGUUACCGACAGAAGAAGCACCGGCUAACUUCGUGCCAGCAGCCGCGGUAAUUC